UACGAAGGGGGGCUAGCGUUGCUCGGAAUCACUGGGCGUAAAGGGUGCGUAGGCGGGUUUUUAAGUCAGAGGUGAAAUCCUGGAGCUCAACUCCAGAACUGCCUUUGAUACUGAAAGGUCUUGAGUAUGGGAGAGGUGAGUGGAACUGCGAGUGUAGAGGUGAAAUUCGUAGAUAUUCGCAAGAACACCAGUGGCGAAGGCGGCUCACUGGCCCAUAACGUGACGCUGAGGCACGAAAGCGUGGGGAGCAAACAGG
rnacentral:rRNA from 1 species